rnacentral:rRNA from 1 species
GAUGAACGCUGGCGGCGUGCCUAAUACAUGCAAGUCGAGCGAACGGACGAGAAGCUUGCUUCUCUGAUGUUAGCGGCGGACGGGUGAGUAACACGUGGAUAACCUACCUAUAAGACUGGGAUAACUUCGGGAAACCGGAGCUAAUACCGGAUAAUAUUUUGAACCGCAUGGUUCAAAAGUGAAAGACGGUCUUGCUGUCACUUAUAGAUGGAUCCGCGCUGCAUUAGCUAGUUGGUAAGGUAACGGCUUACCAAGGCAACGAUGCAUAGCCGACCUGAGAGGAUGAUCGGCCACACUGGAACUGAGACACGGUCCAGACUCCUACGGGAGGCAGCAGUAGGGAAUCUUCCGCAAUGGGCGAAAGCCUGACGGAGCAACGCCGCGUGAGUGAUGAAGGUCUUCGGAUCGUAAAACUCUGUUAUUAGGGAAGAACAUAUGUGUAAGUAACUGUGCACAUCUUGACGGUACCUAAACAGAAAGCCACGGCUAACUACGUG